rnacentral:rRNA from 1 species
GACGAACGCGGCGGCGUGCUUAACACAUGCAAGUCGAACGAAGAGCGAUGGAAGCUUGCUUCUAUCAAUCUUAGUGGCGAACGGGUGAGUAACGCGUAAUCAACCUGCCCUUCAGAGGGGGACAACAGUUGGAAACGACUGCUAAUACCGCAUACGAUCUAAUCUCGGCAUCGAGGAAAGAUGAAAGGAGGCCUCUAUGUAUAAGCUAUCACUGAAGGAGGGGAUUGCGUCUGAUUAGCUAGUUGGAGGGGUAACGGCCCACCAAGGCGAUGAUCAGUAGCCGGUCUGAGAGGAUGAACGGCCACAUUGGGACUGAGACACGGCCCAGACUCCUACGGGAGGCAGCAGUGGGGAAUCUUCCGCCUAUGGACGAAAGUCUGACGGAGCAACGCCGCCUGAGUGAUGACGGCCUUCGGGUUGUAAAGCUCUGUUAAUCGGGAUGAAAGGCCUUC